UUUCAAGUCAGGAGUGAAAGGCUACGGCUCAACCGUAGUAAGCUCUUGAAACUGGGAGACUUGAGUGCAGGAGAGGAGAGUGGAAUUCCUAGUGUAGCGGUGAAAUGCGUCGAUAUUAGGAGGAACACCAGUUGCGAAGGCGGCUCUCUGGACUGUAACUGACGCUGAGGCACGAAAGCGUGGGGAGCAAACAGGAUUAGAUACCCUGGUAGUCCACGCU
rnacentral:rRNA from 1 species